GUGUGUGUGUGUGUGUGUGUGUGUGUGUGUGUGUGUGUGUGUGUGUGUCUUUUCUGUUCUCAUAUACAGAAUAUGAAUAUGUAAACAUACAUUGGUACACAAAUUAAAAUGUUAAAGUUCUCAUCAUUAACUUCUUAAGAAUAAAUGCAUUUAAGCCAUCCACUGCUUUUACCAAAAUUUAAAUCUUGACAUACAAACAAACAUGAACAAGCGCACAUGUGAAUACAUCCUCACACUCACACGUUCAAUGUCUGACUAUUUUUAUGAAGCUGAAAAGACUAAUUGAAAAUGAUAAUUCACAUUUUUUUUCAUUAAGGCACGGUUCAACUGGCUUUCUUCAUGCGCAGACCCUGAGCCAUCCACCCUCCCACAGACGUAGUGUUUCAACUGCAGAAAGAGCCUCUGCAACAGCCCAAAUAUACCCAAGGAUUGACUACACAGGAGCAAGGAGCACAAGGACAGUUUCCCAUAUUUCACCGUAAUUUGGUGCAUUGUGGCUUUAAUAUUUGUGGAGAAAGAGGAAAGAAAACCAAAGUGAUCAUAGUUAAAAAAAUAAAAGGCCUGAGUGCUAUAAUUAAGCUUGUGAAGGAACAAGCACAGGAAGAUGGUUGCAGAUUUUACAAAUUUCGAACAGGGAGGUGUUUUUAUUAGGAGUUGCUGUAUCUUAUGAAACCUGACAUUGAGCAGGAGGAUACUCAGCUGAGAAAGGCAAUUCCUGCAGACCAUCGCUUGGCAUCAACACUUUAGUAUCUAGUAAGCGGUAAGUGUCAAAUAACAUUUUAACUUUUCAUCUUUUGUCCAUGAUGAUGUCUAAUUAUAUGUGUGUUCACAUACACAACACACACACACACACACACACACACACACACACACA